rnacentral:rRNA from 1 species
AUACGUAUGGUGCAAACGUUGUUCGGAAUCACUGGGCUUAAGGAGCACGUAGGCGGUUGAGAAAGUCUGAUGUGAAAUCCCUCGGCUUAACCGGGGAAUUGCAUUGGAAACUUCUUGGCUAGAGUGCAGGAGGGGAGAGUGGAAUUCCUGGUGGAGCGGUGAAAUGCGUAGAUAUCAGGAGGAACGCCGGAGGCGAAAGCGACUCUCUGGCCUGCUACUGACGCUGAGGUGCGAAAGCUAGGGGAGCGAACGGGAUUAGAAACCCCAGUAGUCC